rnacentral:rRNA from 1 species
GAUCCUGGCUCAGGAUGAACGCUGGGGGCGUGCUUAACACAUGCAAGUCGAACGAAGCACUUGGGAUUGAUUCUUCGGAUGAUUUCUCUUGUGACUUAGUGGCGGACGGGUGAGUAACGCGUGGGUAACCUGCCUCACACAGGGGGAUAACAGUUGGAAACGACCGCUAAUACCGCAUAACCCGCUAGGGCCGCAUGGCCCGGACGGAAAAGAUUUAUCGGUGUGAGAUGGACCCGCGUUGGAUUAGCUAGUUGG